CACAAGGAUUGCAGCGCCCGCGUCUCCAGUGGUAAGCCUCGCGCCCAAUAUGCGGUGUCAGGAUUUGCUACGGUCGACACGAGCAUUCUCGUAAAUGCCUGCUUGUUGCGCCUUCGGGUGCUCCACCCAGUCGGGAAAAGGGUUGGCUCUCUUUUCUGUGCCUCUUGGAAAGCACGAACAAGACAAGGCGUAAAGCGUGGUUGCACAGAAUAGGACGGAAGAACUUCAAGCCGACUAAGUCGAGCAAGCUGUGCGAGCGUCAUUUCACUGAUGACCAGUUCGAGCAAACCAUCUUAAGAAGCUUUGGAACAAAAAAACUCAAAUGUUCUGCUGUGCCAUCUAUAUUUUCCCACCGGCCAGAGAA
rnacentral:lncRNA from 1 species